GUACAAUGUGCACGUAUACUAAAAUUGGAAUGAUACAGAGAAGAUGAGCAUGGGCCCUGCACAAGGAUGACACACAAAUUCGUGAAGCGUUCCAUUAAAAA
ensembl:snRNA U6 U6 spliceosomal RNA